rnacentral:lncRNA from 1 species
ACGAGGGCGGGACGCGCGGUCCCCGCAGAGGCCAGAGCUCAGCCUCCGGGAGAGGGUCUCCAGACGGCCGGAGCGAAGUAGCCAGAGUCUGCGUAUCCAAGAGCCGUCCUUCAGGCGAGGCGAGGCGAGGAGAGAACAGUACUGAGACGGAGGGAAAACGAAGCAGCAGUCACGGCCAGGAGGGAGCUCGAGGGCGCGGCGGCGGGACUCUGCGGGACGCUGAGAACUCCGGAGACCAGCGGUACCUAAGGUGAGUUUGAAAAGAGACUUGUAGUGAGGUGGUAUUCAAACGUCACAGGCAUCGAGGAGAAUGGCAGCCAGUAAGAGACACCACGUGAAGCUGAAGUUUUCUUUGUGAGAUGUUUCUGGGUCAGCCAAGCCACAUGUGAAAAUGAGCGGUUGGGAUAGAGGUAGGUUCUCUCUUGAUUAUGUGGCUUAGAGAAGGGCUCUCUAACUUCAGCAU